GACCAGACUCCUACGGGAGGCAGCAGUGAGGAAUAUUGGUCAAUGGGCGCAAGCCUGAACCAGCCAUCCCGCGUGAAGGAAGAAGGCCCUACGGGUUGUAAACUUCUUUUCUGUUUGAAGAAUAAGCUUGUCGAGACAAGUGAUGCCGGUAGGACAGGAAUAAGCAUCGGCUAACUCCGUGCCAGCAGCCGCGGUAAUACGGAGGAUGCAAGCGUUAUCCGGAUUUAUUGGGUUUAAAGGGUGCGCAGGUGGUUGAAUAAGUCAGUGGUGAAAGUCUGGCGCUUAACGUUAGGAUUGCCAUUGAUACUGUUUGACUUGAAUAUGGAUGAGGUAGGCGGAAUGUGUAGUGUAGCGGUGAAAUGCUUGGAUAUUACACAGAACACCGAUUGCGAAGGCAGCUUACUAAUCCAUUAUUGACGCUGAGGCACGAAAGCGUGGGGAUCAAACAGGAUUAGAUACCCUGGUAGUCCACGCUGUAAACUUUGAUCACUCGCUGUUUGCGAUAUACAGUAAGCGGCUAAGCGAAAGCGUUAA
rnacentral:rRNA from 1 species